rnacentral:rRNA from 1 species
UACGUAGGGGGCUAGCGUUGUCCGGAUUUACUGGGUGUAAAGGGCGCGUAGGCGGACUUGUCAGUCAGAGGUGAAACCCUGCAGCUUAACUGCAGAACUGCCUUUGAUACUGCAAGCCUUGAGUCUAGAAGAGAGAAGCGGAAUUCCAGGUGUAGUGGUGAAAUACGUAGAUAUCUGGAAGAACACCAGUUGCGAAGGCGGCUUCUUGGUCUAGAACUGACGCUGAGGCGCGAAAGCGUGGGUAGCAAACAGGAUUAGAUACCCUGGUAGUCCACGCUGUAAACUAUGAAUACUAGAUGUUGGCCUUUUGGCCAGCGUCGAAGCUAACGCAUUAAGUAUUCCACCUGGGGAGUACGAUCGCAAGGUUG